CCUCGGGUCGCUGCAGUAGGGAAUAUUGCUUAAUGGGCGAAAGCCUGAAGCAGCAACGCCGCGUGUACGAUGAAGGCCUUCGGGUUGUAAAGUACUUUUUGCAGGGAUGAGGAAGGACAGUACCUGCAGAAUAAGCCUCGGCUAACUACGUGCCAGCAGCCGCGGUAAAACGUAGGAGGCGAGCGUUAUCCGGAUUUACUGGGCGUAAAGCGCGUGUAGGCGGAUUGGUAAGUUAGCUGUGAAAGCUCCCGGCUUAACUGGGAGAGGUCGGUUAAUACUGUCAGUCUAGAGUAUGUGAGAGGGAAGUGGAAUUCCGGGUGUAGUGGUGAAAUGCGUAGAUAUCCGGAGGAACACCAGAGGCGAAAGCGGCUUCCUGGCACAUAACUGACGCUCAGACGCGAAAGCUAGGGGAGCGAACGGGAUUAGAUACCCGGGUAGUC
rnacentral:rRNA from 1 species